CUUGCCAACUAUCCUAGUUUCAAUCGGUACUCUCUCACACACCUAAAUCUCUCUCUCUCUCUCUCUCUCUCUCUCUCAUCCAUUUUGAUUUCUUUUAUGCAAAAACAGUAAAAAAAAUUAUAAAACAAUCAAAAGUUCUCUAAACUCAAAGAACAUACAAAAAAAAUAUACAAACAACCAAGAUAGCUUAAGAAACAAAAAUUUUACAGCAUCUUGUCGACGGGAUCGUGUUGAUGGUUUAGUAGAGGAUUUUGGUAGAAAUUUGAAGGUUUGGAAAGCUACAACAAGGCACAGUUGGACGUUAGAACGUACGGUACAAUGUUACAUCUAUCCGUACGUGGAGCUUUUAUCCAGACUUGAGAAUGAAUACCACAAUAAACAUUGGUCAGAGGAGAGAAAGAGAAGCUUCUAGGAAUAAUCAGGUUCCACCCCAGGCUCCAGCUGAAGGAGUAGCUAUGCCAAUAACCCAGCUGGGUUGACUGAUGGUAGGUGCAAGCAUAUUAGGCCCAGAUGGAACAGACCAUCACUAUGCAAGCCCAAGCCAUGACUUCCCAGGUCAACCAGUAGAAUGUUGAGAGGGAGAAUCCACCAGUGCGUAGCAUGGCUGACAGGUUGCGAGACUUCACGAGGAUGAAUCCUCCUAUCUUUACAGGGUCAAAAAUUUCUGAGGAUCCCCAGGAUUUUGUGGACGGGGUACACAAGAUUUUGGUGGCCAUGAGUGCCACAGAUACUGAGAAGGCUGAGCGGGCUUCCUUUUAGCUCAAAUACGUUGCACAGACUUGGUGCAAGAUGUGGCAAGAUAGUCGAGCGUUGGGCAGAGUUCUAGUCACUUGGGAGCUGUUUAAGACAGCUUGUCUGGAGAGAUUCUUCCCCAGGGAGAUUGCAGAAGCUAAAUUGAUCAACCUAAAACGUGAAUCGAGGACAGUCAGGGUGUAUUCCCAGAAUUUCAUUAAUCUUUCUUGGUAUGCCACUUCCCUUGUGUCUAACAACAGGGAUGAGAUGAGCAGGUUUCUCAUAAGGAUCACCGAUUAUGUGGAGGAGGAGUGUCCGUUUGCGAUUCUCCACAAUAACAUGGACCUCUCAAGGCUUAUGGUGCAUGUCUAGCAGGUAGACGACAGAAGGAAAAGGAGGGGCAUUCCUGAUUCUAGGAAGCCUAAGACUUCUUAUCAAAAAGCUUCUACCAAUGGAGGAAACAGCAAUAACUUUUGUGUUCGUGAAUAGCCCAAGUUCAAAAGGGGCAACAAAGUUCUGGGAACUCUAAUUUCCAGAGGAGUGCAACACCCGGAGGAGGCAGACCCCGGCCCAAGAAGGGUAAUGGAGGUGAUGUGCAGUGUCCUAGAAAGGAUUGUCAUAAGUGUGGUCGUGCUCACAACGGAGAGUACAGAGAAGACACUAAUGCAAGUUUCAGAUGCGGUAAGAGUUGUAACAUUGUCAGGGACUGCCACAGAAUAGGGGUCAGGCUAGAGGUAAUGCUCAUCCUAGGCCUAACCCACAGAGUACACCAGAAGCCGAGACUUUUAAGAGGAACAUGUUCUAUUCCCUAUAGGGAAGGGAGGAUCAGGAGAAGUCCAUUGAUGUGGUCACAAGUAUGCUGCAACUAUUCUCAAACUUUGUUUAUAAUUUACUUGAUCCAGGGUCUACGUUUUCCUUUGUAACUCCUUUCCUUGCUCUCACCUUUGAAAUAUUUCCUGAACUUUUGAAUAAUCCUAUAGUGGUGAGUACACCUUUAGGAGAAAAUGUAAGGACUGAUAGGGUAUACAAGGAUUUCCCAAUAGUUGUAUGCGUUAAGACUAUGUGUGCAGACU